rnacentral:rRNA from 1 species
UACGUAGGUGGCAAGCGUUAUCCGGAAUUACUGGGCGUAAAGCGCACGCAGGCGGUCUUUUAAGUUUGACGUGAAAGCUCCCGGCUUAACUGGGAGAGGUCGUUGAAUACUGGAAGACUUGAGGCAAUGAGAGGGGUGUAGAAUUCCCGGUGUAGUGGUGGAAUGCGUAGAUAUCGGGAGGAACACCAGUGGCGAAGGCGGCACUCUGGGCCAGUACUGACACUGAGGAGCGAAAGCGUGGGGAGCGAACAGG